rnacentral:rRNA from 1 species
GACGAACGCUGGCGGCGUGCCUAAUACAUGCAAGUCGACCUUAGUGGCGAACGGGUGAGUAACACGUGGGUAACCUGCCCAUCAGAAGGGGAUAACACUUGGAAACAGGUGCUAAUACCGUAUACUGAUGGAUGGCCCCGCGGUGCAUUGGCUAUUUGGUGAGGUAACGGCUCACCAAGGCCACGAUGCAUAGACGACCGGAGAGAGUGAUGGGCCAAAGGGGGAAUGAGACACGGCCCAAACUCCAACGGGAGGCAGAAGUAGGGAAGCUGCGGCAAUGGACGAAAGGCUGACCGAGCAACGCGGCGUGAGUGAAGAAGGUUUUCGGAUCGUAAAACUCUGUUGUUAGAGGAGCGGUAUCUAACCAGAAAGCCACGGCUAACUACGUGCCAGCAGCCGCGGUAAUUC